rnacentral:lncRNA from 10 species
AGUAAAUAUCAGCGCAGCCAGACAUUCGGGGCCACUACUGGUCUCCGCGCAUUGGUGGUAGUAAUCCCCCGGGCCCAGCUGUCUUUUCUUUUAUCUCUUUGUCUUGUAUCUUUAUUUCUACACUCUCUCGUCGCCGCACACAGGGAGAAGCCCACCGACCCUGUGGGGCUGGUCCCUGCACUGUUAGGUUCAAAAGAAGCCUCAGGAUGAGUGGUAGCAAAUUUGAGGAAAAGCGGUUUAUCCGCCAUUGAAGUGCUUUGUUUUAUGCUAUUCUCUUCCCAGCUCCCUCA